GAUGAACGCUGGCGGCGUGCCUAAUACAUGCAAGUCGAGCGAACGGACGAGAAGCUUGCUUCUCUGAUGUUAGCGGCGGACGGGGGAGUAACACGUGGAUAACCUACCUAUAAGACUGGGAUAACUUCGGGAAACCGUAGCUAAUACCGGAUAAUAUUUUGAACCGCAUGGUUCAAAAGUGAAAGACGGUCUUGCUGUCACUUAUAGAUGGAUCCGCGCUGCAUUAGCUAGUUGGUAAGGUAACGGCUUACCAAGGCAACGAUGCAUAGCCGACCUGAGAGGGUGAUCGGCCACACUGGAACUGAGACACGGUCCAGACUCCUACGGGAGGCAGCAGUAGGGAAUCUUCCGCAAUGGGCGAAAGCCUGACGGAGCAACGCCGCGUGAGUGAUGAAGGUCUUCGGAUCGUAUAACUCUGUUAUUAGGGAAGAACAUAUGUGUAAGUAACUGUGCACAUCUUGACGGUACCUAAUCAGAAAGCCACGGCUAACUACGUG
rnacentral:rRNA from 1 species